GCCGCGUGACCUUAAGCUUGAAAAUGUCCAGUCUCUGAACCUCCUAGUGCGGCCGCGGUCCGCACUAGGCCCCUUUUUCUUCACUUCUCUUGGUCUUUGAUACUUGAGCAGGUUUCAAUCCUUUUUGAGCCGAUCUUUGACAUUUCGUCACUUUGUCAAUCAACCCUGCAAUCAAGCACAACUUGUGAGCAUUUUGGGACUGUUUUUGUAUCAAUUUAUACUCAAAGCAUAGGCAAGUAGGGACAUAAACACUUUAAAAUCCUAACUUAUCAGCAGGUAACAUAUUGUUCAUCAUAUCAGAAGCUUUCCAUCCCGAAAAAUGAUUCUUUCAGCUUCCAUCAAAUCUUCAACCGCCCUUUUGAGGGUCCAACAAUCCUCUGUACUAUGUCUCAUUGCUCCAGAGUGGUAUUAACAUCCAGCGUCUGCUCAGUGCGAGGGAACCCGGGGUUUGGCCGGUUUGGGGCCACCGACUGCAGUAGAUCUCGCCUGAUUAGCUUUUGGAACAAGCUUGAAUACGAUUCACCAAUAGGGGUGAACUGAUUCUUUCUGAAAGGCUCUCUUGGGCGAAGAUUGUAUUGAGGAUCAUUUGGUUGAGGAUUAUAUGGAGCUUGGAAAGGAUAGAUAUUUCUGGGAGGUGGAGCUCGACUUUGUGUAUAAUGUUGUGGUUGGGUGUAAGAUUGAGCGCUCAUCACCGCAUAGGGAGGAGGUGCCACUGCAUAAGCAUCAUUUUGAAGGGGAUAAUAGUGUGGGACCAUAGGAGGCAUAUAUGACUUGCUGAAUGACCUGCGGGCCCCCUCGAGCUUGAAACCAUCAUGGCUCCCUCCUCAGUCCCAUUUCUGUUCAUCAAACCCUCCGAACCAUUUUGAACAUCUGAUGAUGUGGCUUUUAAAGUAGCAUGACUCAAGAUUCGGCCCGUUUUUAGACCGUUUUCAACCAUUUCUCCAAUUUUGAUAGCCUCAACAAAUGGCUUUCCCAUAGCGGACAUCAUGUUCUGGAAGUAGUCCGCCUCUUGGGCCUGUAGAAAGACCAUGACCAUUUCAAGUUCAUCCAUUGGAGGCUUUACCCUGGCAGCUUGCUCGCGCCAUUUGACAGCAUAUUCGCGGAAGCUUUCCGCAGAUUUCUUUUUCAAAUUGGACAAAGUAUUUCUGUUGGGAGCGAUGUCCACAUUAUACUGGAACUGGCGGACAAAAUCUCGGGCCAUAUCGUCCCACACGUGCCAAUGAGUAACUUCUUGAUCCGUAUACCACUCAGAAGCGAUUUCAAUGAGGCUUUCCCCAAAAUAGGCCAUUAGCAGCUCCUCUUCUCCGCCAGCGCCUCUCAACUGGUUACAAUAUCGUUUCAGGUGAGCGACCGGGUCUCCAUGCCUGUUGUACUUUUCAAAUUUUGGCAUCUUGAACUCAGCUGGCAAGUGGACGGGAAAACAUACAGAGGUCAGAGUAUGGGACACUCUUUUGGCCACUCAGACUUUGCAUAUUUUUCAGACUUUGUUCCAGUCUCUUCAUCUUCCGAGCCAUUUCCUCUUGCUCGGGAUUCUUAACAACCUUUUCUUGCUCCCCCGGGAGAUCAUAUUGUGGAGGUUGAGUGAAAGAGUACGGGGUCACAUAUGUUAUUUCUGGUUGAAGCUAUGGACCUGAAAGAUAAACAUUGGAGGCGGUGCCCUUGAAGCUGGUGCCUGGGGGCGAACCACAGAAGACAUGCCAGGAUCAUUGGAGGGCAUUGGAGGGUGCCCGCAUGGGAUGAGCGGGUUGAGUAUAGAGGCAUUGGUAACCUCACUUGACCUGGGGAUCAACUCAGGGAACCCAGAGAUUGCACUUGGCAGCUCCCUACCAUUGGAUCAGGCAUCUCACAUUUCCAAUAUGCGGAGACGCAACAUCUUAUUCUCUUCAGCAGCUGCUGAUUUUAACAGCAAAAUAGCCGAUGUCGGGCUAUCCUCAGGACCGAUGAUUGAUAGAUUGAUUGCGGAGGCCAUCUGUGCCUAUGGAUCUUGUGAAGGAGGGGAAGCUAGACUACCAACAAAACCAACCACCAAAACCUAGCUAAUUUGCACAUCGAACAACCUUGUUAGUUUUGAGAUAUUUAACAUAUAGGAAAUCGCACAUUGAGAUGCAUGCACUUAACAGUUAAAUGCUUUUACCAUGUGUUUGAACGGUUGCAUGUUUCAUCCCGGCUUUGACUAGCCCUUUUCACUCUGUACCUCUUUUCUUCAUUUCUGCCUCUCUUUAAUCAAUCUUGAUUUUUCUUUCAUCUCGUUUUUGCCGCUCUUUUAUUUUUGCACUCUCUUUUCUUUUUUGUUUUUGUCACUCUUUUAUUUUUGGUCACUCUCUUUUUUUCACUCUCUUUAUUUUUUCAAUUUAUUUUUCACUCAACUAAUAUUAUGGCUAUGAUCAAAUCCGAUGAGGAUUGCCUACGUAUCAUGACCCCACAUGAAUCAAAUCUUACGUAGUUCGGGAAGAUUGAGAAUAGAGUAAAUAAACUAACUCUUUUUUUUGGAAUUUUUGAAAGAAAUGCUUUAAAAGAAGAAAGGAAAUAUUUUUUUGAUUUUUUGAUUUUGAUUUUUUGUUUUGCUUUUUUGAAAGAAAGACUUCUAAAAAAAUUCAUUUGCUUUUGAUUCGAACUUUGGGAAUUUUAAAAGUAAAAAGAAAAUAUUUUGUUUGAAUUUUCAUUUGUUUUUUCUUUUUCUAAAGAAGAAAGAAAAAUAUUUUUGGAUUUCAGAUGUUGCCUCUUAAUUUUCGAAAGAGGGACUUUUAAGAAAAUAUUUUGGAUUUCUCAGUUUUUAUUUAUUUACAAAAGCACUUCUAAAGAAAAGCGAAAAUAUUUUUGGACUUCAAUUUUUCAAAAUUUUUAUGGACAUUUACAAAAGAAAGACAUCGAAAGAGUUUUUUUGGAUUUUUGUUUGUAAUGAUUUUUUUUGGAUGUUUUGGAAAAAUACUUCAAAAUGAAGGAAACCUGUAUUUUGGAUUUUGAUUUUUAUUUCCUUUUCAUUAUGAAAGACUUCAGAAAGAAGGAAACUAUUUAUUUUGAGUUAAAAAAAGACUUUCUUUUUUUUUUGAAUUUUUUAAGGAAAGAUCUUUAAAGAAGGAACUAAAGAAAAAUAUUUUUGGAUUUUUGAAAAUUGGAGUCUCAAAGAAAGACUUUUCUAAAAAAAAGAAGUGAAGGACAAUAUUUUUGGAUUUUUAAAAAUUGGGGCCGGAACCAACGAGGUUUGCCUACGUAUCUCACAUCCGGUGAGAAUCAAACCCGCGUAGUUCGGUCAGUUUUGACAGAACAGGGGAGGCGUGGCACUUGAAAAUUUUUGGCUCAUUUUGAAAUGACUUUUUUUUUUCCAGAUUUCGGUAGAGUUUCAGAAUUUUCUAAAUACCUACCUCACCCCUUCUUUUUUUUUUGAUUUUAUUUCCUUAUUCUAAAAGCCGGUCAACAUGUAAGCUGAAAAAACAGAUGCUCAAGUAGCACGUAAUAUGCAUCAGGAUGGUCUUUUUAAUUUGGGUACACCUGUCCUAGACGGACCCAUCCCCUGUGUUGAGUCCCCAAAGUCAGAUGCACGUGAUGCAAACAAACGUACCUACUAGGGAUCCGACAUGAGGCUAUGUUAUACUAGGGUUAAGAACCUGGGUGUAUUGUUCUAGACCUGGCUUACCCGAGCGGACAACUCAAGCUGAAGAAGGGGGGGCAGCGUACCGGGAAUACAGAAGCUUCACCAGAUUUGCAACUUGUCCGAACCUCGUUCUAAAAUUGGGAUAAGACUCUAAUAGAAAAAUAAGUCACACGAAGUGCACACUUCCUAGAUGAUUUAGAAGACUUAGAGAGAAGAGGGUCUCGUAACAAUUUAUAUACAAUUCAAACAAUAUCAAAGCGGUAAAAAGCAGCAUUUAGCACAUUAGGCUCAAACAUGUAAAAAUCAGAUAAUAAAUAAAGCCAAGUAUAACACUUAUUCCAAGCUCGAAUUCUUAACCCUGAACCAGAAGUUCUGGGUUCUUAUCCCCAGUAGAGUCACCAGAGCUGUCACACCUCCUUUUUACACACCCGAGGGUAUAUAGGGGAGUUUUUCCAAUUUAAGUGACAUUAUUCGAAAUGGGAUUAUUUAUUCAAUUCAGAGUCGCCACUUAGGAAUAUUUUAAUUGGUGUUCCAAGUCACCGGUUUAUUUUAAAUCCCAGAUCGAGGAAAUUUCGACUUUCCUUUUGAAGUUUGCGAACCAGAAAUUCUGAAUAAGGAAUUCUGUUAACCCGAGGGAAGGUGUUAGGCACCCCCGGAUUCCGUGGUUCUAGCACGGUCGCUUAAACUAUCAUAAUUGGCCUAUUAUCUGAUUCUAAUACAUGUUUUAGCCUAUGGUACAUUUUAACUCGUUAAACCGCUUUUAAUUAUUUUUUAGGAAGAUCCAACGUUAUUUAAAAUACGCCUUGAACCAUGCCACAUGAAAUGCACCCGCGGUCCACGACACAUUUUAUUUAACAUUGUUGAGAUUUAGAUUUGGGUCACAUGAAAUGCACACCCGAGUUUAAGGAAAUUAAUUUAAAUAACGCGCCUAAAACAACUACACACUUUUAAGUUUGCGAGGGCCAUGGAUAAUUCAGCUAAUGACAUGCCUCGAUUUCUAAAGAGUUAAUAUUAAUUACAUGAGGGUCAUGGGUUAGUUAAUGAGAAUGGCACCAAAAUUAUUAGCUCAAAAUCCUAAAUCAAUGAACUGUUGGUUUGUCUCCAAUUAAAUUAUCCAUGCAGCAAUACACAAAUUGUCUCACUAGAUAUUAUCUAAAACAUGACAACCAGGAGGAAUUCACAUAUGAACAUUUAAAGCAUGAUUCAAUAUUUGACCACAUAAAGGUAAACCACACACAGUACUAAUAUUGAUUACAACCAAGCAAUUCAAACUAUUCUCACGUGAUUGUAUACCAAACAUGGUUAUGUAUCAUUCAUUUACAUUCGAAAAUAUCUAUUUUACUAUAUGCUCUAUGAAUUGUAUUAUACAAAAAAAUCAGUUAUCCACUUAUUCUUUGGUUCACUUCAAAAAUCGCAAGAUACCUAUGUCACUUAAUAUUCACAACAAACUCAUGGAAAAGUUCAUCACAACAAAGAAUUAAAAAGCAUUCAAAGCUUUCUCAUCACAGAUGCAUUAAUAGAAUCCAAACAAACAUAUGGAAAAAGGAUUUAAUGGCAAACGAAAAUUUUAAAACAAAAAAACCACUAAAGAAUUCAAAUAGCAUGGGUAAGAAUGAACCUUAAUAUUCAGUAAAUAAACUUCUUCAAUAGAUGAAAACACGAAGCUCCCGACAUCGACAAACUAUAUUAAUUCCAAAGAUUACAACCCCAAUAAAGAGUCAAACAAGAUCCGCGACAUGAGCACUCGAACGACGACCUCGACAGAACCUCCGAUUUUGGUGAUUUCGGAACUGUUUGCAGCUGGUUCUGCUGCUGGUUCUAUGGCUAAAGAAGUAGUGUGUUUCCGCUGCAAUUUUGAAGUUGUUUUGGGGCUUAAUUUGGAGGUCGUUUUGGACAUGGGUUUUGGGGCGACACAGCUGGUUUUAAAGCUGCAUUAAUGGAGAUUUUCGGACUGGUUUUAAUGGUGAAAAAGUCGUUGUUAUCUGGUGAAUUUUGAAGGUUAUUUGCUAGAGUUUUGUAUAGAAACAGGGACUGUGUUUAAGGUUGGAGGGAGGUACUUCAAUGGAUGAUUUUUGAGAAAAUAUUUGUAGAUGCUUUAACGGAGGAAAGGGGUAUAGCUCAUGGUGUCCAUGAUGGCUUAAGGAGGAUUGUCCUGUUUGGAGAGGAAGCACCAGAUUUUAUUGUGCGUUUUUACUGAAGAAACGAC
rnacentral:lncRNA from 1 species